rnacentral:rRNA from 1 species
AGUGAACGCUGGCGGUAGGCCUAAUACAUGCCAGUCGAACGGCAGCACAGUAAGAGCUUGCUCUUACGGGUGGCGAGUGGCGGACGGGUGAGGAAUGCAUCGGCAUCUACUUUUUCGGGGGGGAUAACGGAGGGAAACUUACGCUAAUACCGCAUACGACCUACCGGAGAAAGCAGUGGAUCUUCGCACCUUGCGCGAUUCAAUGAGCCGAUGUCGGAUUAGCUAGGUGGCGUGGUAAAGGCCCACCAAGGCGACGAUCCGUAGCGGGUCUGAGAGGAUGAUCAGCCACACUGGAACUGAGACACGGUCCAGACUCCUACGGGAGGCAGCAGUGGGGAAUCUUGGACAAUGGGCGCAAGCCUGAUCCAGCCAUACCGCGUGGGUGAAGAAGGCCUUCGGGUUGUAAAGCCCUUUUAUUGGGAAAGAAAAGCAGCAGGUUAAUACCCCGCUGUUCUGACGGUACCCAAACAAUAAGCACCGGCUAACUUCGUG